GGGGAAUAUUGCACAAUGGGCGCAAGCCUGAUGCAGCCAUGCCGCGUGUAUGAAGAAGGCCUUCGGGUUGUAAAGUACUUUCAGCGGGGAGGAAGGGAGUAAAGUUAAUACCUUUGCUCAUUGACGUUACCCACAGAAGAAGCACCGGCUAACUCCGUGCCAGCAGCCGCGGUAAUACGGAGGGUGCAAGCGUUAAUCGGAAUUACUGGGCGUAAAGCGCACGCAGGCGGUUUGUUAAGUCAGAUGUGAAAUCCCCGGGCUCAACCUGGGAACUGCAUCUGAUACUGGCAAGCUUGAGUCUCGUAGAGGGGGGUAGAAUUCCAGGUGUAGCGGUGAAAUGCGUAGAGAUCUGGAGGAAUACCGGUGGCGAAGGCGGCCCCCUGGACGAAGACUGACGCUCAGGUGCGAAAGCGUGGGGAGCAAAC
rnacentral:rRNA from 1 species